rnacentral:lncRNA from 1 species
UAGGGGACCUAAAUUACGUUGCAAACUUCAUAGCCAAGAACAUCAAUUUUUUCCAAAGCUUAUUAGUCAUGGUUAAAAGAUAGAUAACACAAGAUGAUUUUUUUGGAAUGUAAUCUUUUUUUUCUUGUUGCCAAUAUGAGAUACGUAUUUUAUUUUUGCAUGCUAAUUGUUGGGAUAUACCGACCGACCUCUGUACGCCGACUUAUCCUCGGAUCGGUCCGACUGAUGCCCGACUCUACCCAUC